UGCAGUGACCCACAGUCAAGCACUGGUCUGAGCUCCCGGAGUUCAGUUAAAUAGAGACAGAAGAGGUCAUAUGAACCAGUGGAGUCAAGACCAUGAUGUGGAAAACCACAGAGACAGCUGACCUGAGCUAUUGGGAGCUUAUUGACUAUGAACUGAUAGCAGGGGAACCUUUAUGGGACCUAAACUAGACCCUCUAAAGGUAAGCAAGAGAACUUGGCAGGGCAACUGAGACACUCAGCCCAUGGGAAACGUGUUGCCCAGCACGAAACGAGUGACAGAUGGGUUCUCCAACAUGAAAAGGAAAUUCUGUGUUCCUUUCCCGUCUGUAGACACAUCCCAGCUACUGGAAAGACAAACUUCUCCAACUGGUUUUGAAUGUCUUUGUAUUUUUCCCCUCCGGAAAGAAUUCCUGCAUAUCAGCCUCAUGGUUCCCUACUGGCUCCUCAGAGUGACAGUGCUAUUGUCUUCCACAGAGGGACUUGCUACUGCUAUUCACCAGAGAUUUGACUGGCUUUCCCCACCCUACCUUCUUCCACAGGGUGACCAAUUCCUUUCUACUGAAUUGGUUCUCCUACUUUUUAUGUUAUGACAUUUUGAAAGACAUAAUGUUGACUUUGUUACUAAGGAAACAUGUGCAUGUAUUCAAAGACAGUGAAUAAUCAUCCUACAAUAGAGAUGUGCUACUUUGUGGAGUAGAAUCUGUGACAUUGUUUUCAAUUCAGGAGCACUCAAUCUAUGUUAUUUUAAAAAUCUUAUUUGUGACGCACAAACUUACAGUAUUAUCCACAGUUUAAAUGGUAGUUCACAUUCCCACCACAGCAUUUCAGACUUCCAUGGCAGUCUGGAAUGCAGCUCUUCCUGAUCUCAGUUUUCUUCUGUGUUUACUUUUUCUUCAUAGCAGCAACAUUUCAUCCAAAUGUUACUUUCUAUUACAGGCUUUGAGUAUUUACUCGCUUAGUUUCUGUUUUCGCUUUGUUUCUACAGUUCCUCAUAAAAUAAAUGCAUGGAGGUCAGAGCUUUGCAUAUGUUAAUGCAUUCUUGGUGC